GCGGCAGCCGUUGGAGUGAGGGUGGAGGUGGAGGUGGAGACGGGCACGAACCAAUGUUCAGAACGUCAAGAAAAACGGGGAAGUGAGUCAAGUUUUGAACUUGCGCGACCAUGUAACAUAAUAAUGGCUGAUCCAACAUAAAAGUUAGUCCUGACGAAGGGUCUCGGCCUGAAACGUCGACUGCACCUCUUCCUACAGAUGCUGCCUGGCCUGCUGCGUUCACCAGCAACUUUUGAUGUGUGUUCCUUGAAUUUCCAGCAUCUGCAGGUUGUUUGCAUAGCUGAUCCAAUCUUGAUUUCAAAAUCACUAUCCUACUCAGUUCCCAUGAGACACGAGGAACUGCAGGUGCUGGAAUUUAGAGCAGUCCUAACAGAAAGUCUGAGCCCAAAAUGUCAUUUGUCUCUGCCUUCACAAAUGCUGCUUGACCUGCUGAGUUAUUAUAGCAGAUUGUUUUUUUUUGCUGCUGACUUCAAAAUCAGUUCACUUUUGUCUUGUCCUCAUGUCUGUCAGUCUUUUGCUUUAAUAUUUUAAAUGACUACUUCUUUAGUUUAUUGGGUUCGAAAUUUCGAAGAAGUCUGGAUAGAAGAAAUACUUAAUGUCUGUUUAACACUGUUCCCCUUAGUUAUAAUUACAGGCCCUUGGUCUGAUAAGACUAUGGUCUGCAUCUAGCUUGUCCCAGUUUCCUAUAUUCAAACCAUAUCCUUGAUGUCCUGCCGAAGGGUCUAGGCCUGAAACGUCGACUGUACUUUUUUCCAUAGAUGCUGCCUGGCUUGCUGAGUUCCUCCAGCAUUUUGUGUGUGUUGUGUGGAUUUCCAGCAUCUACAAAUUUUAUCUUUGUCCCUGAUUCUUGAUGUUUCUGUAUGAAACUGUUCUCUUGUUAUCCAUGCUGCCAUGCCCUCUCUGAAGAUUGUAAAUUUUAGUUGAUUGUUUCUCUGCCUUCUAAACACUAAUGGGUAUACAGUAUAUUUAACCUGCUUGUUUUCUUCAUACAUUCACCCUUCAUCUCAGAAAUCAGCCUAGUUAACCCUUCCUACAUUAAUCAAAUCCAAAUAUAUACUUCCAUUAAUAUUACAACUAAACAUGACUACGACACACUUGAUUUCCCCCUAAUCCAAUGCAUUCAUAUGCAUUGUAAGUGGUUGAUGUCCUUCAGUGAUUGCCUAUGGUACCCUACCUAAUUAUUCAAUGUCAAUCCAUAAAUCAUCAAUUUAUGCUGCCUCUAUAUUCUGUUAGCCAAUCCCCUAAUCAUAUCAGAGUAUUACUCCCAACCACAUGCUAUCUCCGCUUGUACUGUAACCUUUUAUGAGGCACUUUUUGACUGCCUCUGGAAAUUAAAAUACACUACAUCUUCAGAUUCCCACUAUCAACAUUGUUUGUUAUGUGCUGAAGGAACUUGAGCAAAUUUGUCAAAUAUAAUUUUGUUUCAAUAUAUUGUCAUAUGCUUUUCCCAGUAUCCUUUAUCUACCUGCUUUGGUAAUGGAAUCAAGCAAUUUCUUAAUGAACAAUUUUAGGCUUCCUGGUCUCCAGUUCUGUGAUCCUGUCCCCUUUUUUGAAAAGGAAAAAAAAAAAAAUAUAUAUAUAUAUAUAUAUAAUUUCAGAAUUCCUUAAGCUCCUUUAAGGCCCAAGAAUAGAGGCCAUAAUGUCCAAAGAACAGACUAUAGGGAACAUAAGCAUCGAACUUAAUCAAUUUCCCUUAAGCCAUAAUAGACCCAUAGGCCUGCGAUAAAAAAUUGCUUUCUAAAUAGCAUUAUCCACUUGUAAGAUCAAAAACAGUUAUAUGUAAACUUCCAACUAUAUUUCUUUGUUUAACUUCUGGUCAUAAGGGAGUUAAGUCUUCAGUUGUUAAAAUGGAAAUGGAAAGCAGUAAUCAGCUUAAAGUUUAAAGCACUUACUUUAGAACAGCUUUGAAAAUAGCUCAGUCCAUAGAACACAUUAUGUCUAAGGAAACUCAGUGCACUGCUUUAUUAGUGCUCAAAGUUCAAUAUAAGACAAUGGGUUGUUUAAUUUGGGUUGUUUCCAAUAGGCAAGCUAACUCUUAAGUUCCUUAGUUCAAAGAAGGCUGCAAAAGGAAUUAGCUUUUGUAGCGUUAACUGUGAACUGUAAACAUUAAUCUGUGUAAAGAUACUUUUAGACCUUUUGUGUUAAAAGGACGUCUGAGGAAAUAGAUCUGUGUGAAGUCACCCAAGUGGGCGAAAAACAGUAUCAAUGUAGAGUGCAGUUCAGGCUUAUUAGGAAUGGGAUAAGGAACAUCAAGAAAAAGAUAUGGAAGAAACACUGGGCAAACUGGAAUUCAUUGCACCAGCUUCAGUUGCUGAGUUGAAUGAUUCAUUGGUAUGCAUCAUGGGCUUAAGGACAUCAUUUGAGUUAAGAACUUCAUGGUCAUCAAACCCAGUACCAUCACAGGCCAAAAUCAUCUCCUCCUCGUGCCGUUAGAAAAACGUGGCUCAAUAUUACAUCUUCUGAUUGCAUCAUCGUCUGCAAACAACGAUUUGCCAAAUCCUGUUCCUACCUGAUCAAAGAUAUCAUUUAUCAUGACAUUAAAAAGAACCGGACUAAUGACGCUUCCUUGAGGGGUACCAUUACCUAUUUUAACUGACUUGGAGCUUGUUCCGCCUAUUCUUACUUGAAUUGUCCUUUCCUUGAGAAAAUCUUUGAUCCAAUUAAACAUUCUACCUCUAAUUCCCGCAUCAUAGAGUUUAAUUAAUAAACCAUCCUUCCAUAGUAAGUCAUAUGCUGUUUCAAUAUCUAGAAAUGCACUUACCAUUACUUCUCUAAUUUGAAAUGUUUUUUUAAUAUCGUGAUCUAAAAGGGCAAGAAAUUCCAUUGUUGAUCUUCCAGUUCUAAAACCAUUUUGAUAGGCAGCAAAAUGU